rnacentral:rRNA from 1 species
GAUGAACGCUGGCGAGAUGCUUUACACAUGCAAGUCGUACGAGAGUUUUAAUCAAGUGGCGGACGGUGAGUAACACGUAAGAAUUUGCCUUUAGGAGGGGACAACAAUUGGAAACGAUUGCUAAUACCCCAUAUGCUUUCGAGUGAAAUGGACUUUUCCGCCUAAAGAGAAGCUUGCGGCUGAUUAGCUUGUUGGUAAGGUAAUGGCUUACCAAGGCGACGAUCAGUANCU